UGGCGCUCUGCGGCUGGGGAGUAAAUUUCUCCCUGUCAUCAGGUCGCGGGGAGCGGAGGAGGAGGAGGAGUUUGUUAAUGUUCAGUUUGUUCAGCGGGAUCGAUGUUUGCUGGCAUCGCCUCGCCCUGUCUUGUGUGUGUGUGAGUGUGUGAGUGUGCGCGCGUGUGUGUGUGCGCGCGUGUGAGUGUGUGUGUGCGCAUAGGUGGGGGGUGUGAGUGUGUGUCUGUGCGCAUAGGUGGGGGGUGUGAGUGUGCGUGUGUGUGUGUGUGUGUGUGUGUGCGCGCGCGUGUGCGUGUGCGAGUGAGUGGAUUCCGGAUUUUCCGUCUUUCCCCCAACCCGCUCCUGUCCUCUCGCAUAUCACUCACAGACGGGAAUCUGACAGCAGCCACAAACCUACAGUGAGUGAUCUCUCUCCCCCAGCGCGAAUCCGCCAUAGAGACCGGCGAGGAGGAGGAGGAGGAGGANNNNNNNNNNNNNNNNNNNNNNNNNNNNNNNNNNAGAUGAAGAAGGAGGAGGAGGAGGAGGAGGAGGAGGAGGAGGAGGGAAAGAGGAGAAGGAAGAAGAAGGAAAAGAAGAAGAAGAAGCCACUACCUCCCCAGGAUUGCCUGGUUCUCCCCCUUCUCUUUACGCGCGCGUGUGCGUGUGGCGCGUGUGCGCCCCUCGUCCCUUCCAUCCGAACGCGGUCUUGGAUGUUUAAUAAAGAAAUCAAGUGUCUCAACAGUCACCCCCCAAAAAAAAAAAAAAAAACCAAAAAAACCAAAACCCUCCAAAAAAGCAAAAAAAAAAAAAAAAAAAAAAAUCAAAAAGCGAGAGAGCGAGGGGGAGCGAGCUCCCAAAACAAACAAACAAACAAACAACCAGGCAGAGCCAACCUCUACUUGCGAGCAGCCGGCGCGAGCCGCCCGCGUCCGCCGCCCGGAGAGGGGGGUCUCCGCGGGCCCGUGGUGGAGGAGUUGCAGGGGGGAUCGCCGGGGGGACUGAGGCCGAGUGACGCCCCGGGAGCCGCCGGGCCGGAGGCGGAGGAGCCCCGGAGAGGCGAGAGAGCAGCGGGCCCCCGCGCGCGGCUCGGGGCUGGGCCGCCAGAAGUGGGACUGGAGCGAAGUAGAGCGAUGCCAAGGAGGAAACAGCAGGCACCCAAGCGGGCGGCAGGGAACACUGAUGUGAGCCAACUGUGCAUAUCUGCUGAUGAACCUUCCCAGGAAGUCAUGCUCUGGAACCCUCCACGGGCCUUGUGA
ensembl:lncRNA